rnacentral:rRNA from 1 species
GACGAACGCUGGCGGCGUGCUUCACACAUGCAAGUCGAACGAAGUGGCGAACGGGUGAGUAAUACGUGAGUAACUGCCCUCCUUUUUGGGAUAAGCAUUGGAAACGGGGUCUAAUACCGACUAAAGGGGGAUGGCUUGCGGCCUAUCAGCUUGUGGGUGGGGUAGUGGCCUACCAUGGCGACGACGGGUAGCCGGCCUGCGGGGGAGACCGGCCACAGUGGGCUGAGAUACGGCCCAAACUCCUACGGGAGGCAGUGGUGGGGAAUCUUGCACAAUGGGGGAAACCCUGAUGCAGCAACGCCGCGUGCGGGAUGACGGCCUUCGGGUUGUAAACCGCUUUCAGCCAUGACGCGGUAGUGGCAGAAGAAGCACCGGCUAACUACGUGCCAGCAGCCGCGGUAAUAC